rfam:Ailuropoda melanoleuca scaffold460_24, whole genome shotgun sequence.
GGCGGGGCCGAGGGGCCAAGCCCGCGGGGGGAGGGGCGGUGUCGGUCACGUGACGCGGUUUCACUGUUUACACGCGGAGCGGCCGGAGCGUUCGCCCUCAGUCAGGCGCUCGGCUCCGUCACCUCU